CUUGCUUCGGGUGAUCAGUGGCGAACGGGUGAGUAACACGUGAGUAACCUGCCCCAGACUCUGGGAUAACCUCGGGAAACCGGGGCUAAUACCGGAUAUGCAGCGUUCCCGCAUGGGAUGCGUUGGGAAAGUUUUUCGGUCUGGGAUGGACUCGCGGCCUAUCAGCUUGUUGGUGAGGUAGUGGCUCACCAAGGCGACGACGGGUAGCCGGCCUGAGAGGGCGACCGGCCACACUGGAACUGAGACACGGUCCAGACUCCUACGGGAGGCAGCAGUGGGGAAUAUUGCACAAUGGGCGCAAGCCUGAUGCAGCGACGCCGCGUGGGGGAUGAAGGCCUUCGGGUUGUAAACCCCUUUCAGCAGGGAAGAAGCGAAAGUGACGGUACCUGCAGAAGAAGCGCCGGCUAACUACGUGCCAGCAGCCGCGGUAAUACGUAGGGCGCAAGCGUUGUCCGGAAUUAUUGGGCGUAAAGAGCUCGUAGGCGGUUUGUCGCGUCUGCUGUGAAAACCCGAGGCUCAACCUCGGGCCUGCAGUGGGUACGGGCAGACUAGAGUGUGGUAGGGGAGACUGGAAUUCCUGGUGUAGCGGUGGAAUGCGCAGAUAUCAGGAGGAACACCGAUGGCGAAGGCAGGUCUCUGGGCCACAACUGACGCUGAGGAGCGAAAGCGUGGGGAGCGAACAGGAUUAGAUACCCUGGUAGUCCACGCCGUAAACGGUGGGCACUAGAUGUGGGGCUCAUUCCAUGAGUUCCGCGUCGCAGCUAACGCAUUAAGUGCCCCGCCUGGGGAGUACGGCCGCAAGGCUAAAACUCAAAGGAAUUGACGGGGGCCCGCACAAGCGGCGGAGCAUGCGGAAUUAAUUCGAUGCACCGCGAAGAACCUUACCAAGGCUUGACAUAUACCCUCUAC
rnacentral:rRNA from 1 species